rnacentral:rRNA from 1 species
UUACCAGGACUUUUAUCUAUUUAAUUUUAAGAAAUUAAAAUUUAGUGAAGUAGAAAUAGGUGGUGCAUGGCUGUCGCCAGCUCGUGUCGUGAGAUGUUGGGUUAAUUCCCUUAACGAGCGCAACCCUUGUUUGGUCAGUUGUUAUGGAUUUCUGAGAAGACUGCCGAUGAGAAAUCGGAGGAAGGUAAGGAUGACGUCAAGUCAGUAUGCCCCGUAUGUCCUGGGCUACACACGUGCUACAAUGGCC